rnacentral:rRNA from 1 species
AGUCGAGCGAACGGAUAAGGAGCUUGCUCCUUUGAAGUUAGCGGCGGACGGGUGAGUAACACGUGGGUAACCUACCUAUAAGACUGGAAUAACUUCGGGAAACCGGAGCUAAUGCCGGAUAACAUUUGGAACCGCAUGGUUCUAAAGUAAAAGAUGGUUUUGCUAUCACUUAUAGAUGGACCCGCGCCGUAUUAGCUAGUUGGUAAGGUAACGGCUUACCAAGGCAACGAUACGUAGCCGACCUGAGAGGGUGAUCGGCCACACUGGAACUGAGACACGGUCCAGACUCCUACGGGAGGCAGCAGUAGGGAAUCUUCCGCAAUGGACGAAAGUCUGACGGAGCAACGCCGCGUGAGUGAUGAAGGUUUUCGGAUCGUAAAACUCUGUUAUUAGGGAAGAACAAAUGUGUAAGUAACUGUGCACAUCUUGACGGUACCUAAUCAGAAAGCCACGGCUAACUACGUGCCAGCAGCCGCGGUAAUACGUAGGUGGCAAGCGUUAUCCGGAAUUAUUGGGCGUAAAGCGCGCGUAGGCGGUUUCUUAAGUCUGAUGUGAAAGCCCACGGCUCAACCGUGGAGGGUCAUUGGAAACUGGGAAACUUGAGUACAGAAGAGGAAAGUGGAAUUCCAUGUGUAGCGGUGAAAUGCGCAGAGAUAUGGAGGAACACCAGUGGCGAAGGCGACUUUCUGGUCUGUAACUGACGCUGAUGUGCGAAAGCGUGGGGAUCAAACAGGAUUAGAUACCCUGGUAGUCCACGCCGUAAACGAUGAGUGCUAAGUGUUAGGGGGUUUCCGCCCCUUAGUGCUGCAGCUAACGCAUUAAGCACUCCGCCUGGGGAGUACGACCGCAAGGUUGAAACUCAGAGGAAUUGACGGGGACCCGCACAAGCGGUGGAGCAUGUGGUUUAAUUCGAAGCAACGCGAAGAACCUUACCAAAUCUUGACAUCCUUUGAAAACUCUAGAGAUAGAGCCUUCCCCUUCGGGGGACAAAGUGACAGGUGGUGCAUGGUUGUCGUCAGCUCGUGUCAUGAGAUGUUGGGUUAAGUCCCCCAACGAGCGCAACCCUUAAACUUUAGUUGCCAGCAUUUAGUUGGGCACUCUAAGGUUGACUGCCGGUGAACAAACCGGAAGGAAGGUGGGGGAUGACGUCCAAUCAUCAUGGCCCCUUAAGGAUUU